rnacentral:rRNA from 1 species
UGAGGAAUCCUGCGCAAUGGGGGAAACCCUGACGCAGCAACGCCGCGUGAGUGAGGAAGGUCUUCGGAUCGUAAAGCUCUGUCAGUUGGAAAGAAAUGUCUGAGAGUCAAUACCUUUCAGGCUUGACGGUACCAACAGAGGAAGCACCGGCUAACUCCGUGCCAGCAGCCGCGGUAAUACGGGGGGUGCAAGCGUUGUUCGGAAUUAUUGGGCGUAAAGAGCGUGUAGGCGGCCGGAUAUGUCAGAUGUGAAAGCCCCGGGCUUAACCCGGGAAGUGCAUUUGAAACUGUCCGGCUCGAGUAGGGGAGAGGGAAGUGGAAUUCCUGGUGUAGAGGUGAAAUUCGUAGAUAUCAGGAAGAACACCAGUGGCGAAGGCGACUCUCUGGACUGUAACUGACGCUGAGGCACGAAAGCGUGGGGAGCAAACAG